UUUAGGUGGUUUUCGGGUUGA
rnacentral:piRNA from 1 species